GUCUUUUUGAUACAUAUAUAAAAAGUCUAAUCUGCCCUCUGAUUAUUAAUUAAAUGGCCGCAGUAUUUUAACUGUGCAAAGGUAGCAUAAUCAUUAGUUUUUUAAUUGAAAGCUUGUAUGAAUGAUUGGACGUGAUAUUAACUGUUUCAUUUAAAUUUUUAAUAGAAUUUUAUUUUUUAAUAAAAAAGUUAAAAUAAUUUUAAAAGACGAGAAGACCCUAUAAAUCUUAAUAAUUUAUUUAUUAUAUUUAUUUAGAUUAUUUAAAAUAUAAUAUACAUAUAAUUAUUUUAUUGGGGUGAUAUUAAAAUUUAAUAAACUUUUAAUUUAAUUUUACAUAAAUUUAUGAUUUUAUGAUCCAUUAUUAUUGAUUAAAAAUUUAAGUUACUUUAGGGAUAACAGCGUAAUUUUUUUAGAGAGUUCAUAUCGAUAAAAAAGAUUGCGACCUCGAUGUUGGAUUAAGAGAUAAAAUUAGGCGUAGUAGUUUAAUUUUUAAGUCUGUUCGACUUUUAAAUUCUU
rnacentral:rRNA from 1 species